AUACUUACCUGGACAGGGUCGAUGGGCGAUCAAGAAGGCUCAUGGCUUAGGUUAGUGACCUCCAUUGCACUCAGGAGGGGUGCUGGCCUAAGAUAUCCCCAAGUGGGAUAGUCUACGUCAUAAUUUUGUUUCUAAGGGGGUAUGCGUUCGUGCGGCCCCUGC